UGAAUACGAGACGCUAAGGCGUCGAAGUAGUGUAUGUCAUACUUCCAAGAAAAGCUUGCACUGUCAUAGAUAAAAAACGCCUGUACCAUAACCGACACAGGUGGGUAGGUAGAGUAUACUAAGGGGCGCGAGAUAACUCUCUCUAAGGAACUCGGCAAAAUAACUCCGUAACUUCGGGAGAAGGAGUGCCUUAUUCGUAAGGUUGCAAUAACAAGAUCCAAGCAACUGUUUAUCAAAAACACAGGUCUCCGCUAAGUCGUAAGACGAUGUAUGGGGGCUGACGCCUGCCCAGUGCCAGAAGGUUAAAGAAGUUGGUUAGCAAUUGCGAAGCUGAUAACUGAAGCCCUGGUGAACGGCGGCCGUAACAAUAACGGUCCUAAGGUAGCGAAAUUCCUUGUCGGGUAAGUUCCGACCCGCACGAAAGGCGUAAUGAUUUGGAUACUGUCUCGGAGAGGGGCUCGGUGAAAUAGACUUGUCUGUGAAGAUGCGGACUACCUGCACCAGGACAGAAAGACCCUAUGAAGCUUUACUGUAACUUGAAAUUGAAAUUGGACUUUAUUCGCGCAGUAUAGGUGGGAGGCGUUGAUUAUAAUCUUGUGGGAUUAUUGGAGCCAUCAGUGAGAUACCACUCUUGUAAUGUUAGAUUUCUAACUUUGAAUCAUUAUCUGGUCAAAGAACAGUUUCAGGCGGGCAGUUUGACUGGGGCGGUCGCCUCCUAAACGGUAACGGAGGCGUACAAAGGUUUCCUCUGAACGGUUAGAAAUCGUAUCUAGAGUGUAAAGGCAUAAGGAAGCUUGACUGUGAGACCUACAAGUCGAGCAGGGACGAAAGUCGGUCUUAGUGAUCUGACGGUACUGAGUGGAAAGGCCGUCACUCAACGGAUAAAAGUUACUCUAAGGAUAACAGGCUGAUCUCCCCCAAGAGUUCACAUCGACGGGGAGGUUUGGCACCUCGAUGUCGGCUCAUCGCAUCCUGGGGCGGUAGUACGUCCCAAGGGUUGGGCUGUUCGCCCAUGAAAGCGGUACGCGAGCUGGGUUCAGAACGUCGUGAGACAGUUCGGUCCAUAUCCGGUGUAGGCGUUAGAAUAUUGAGAGGAGCCUUCUUUAGUACGAGAGGACCGAGAAGGACAUACCUCUGGUGUACCAGUUAUCGUGCCAACGGUAAACGCUGGGUAGCUAUGUAUGGAGUGGAUAACCGCUGAAAGCAUCUAAGUGGGAAGCCCACCUCAAGAUAAGUAUUCUCU
rnacentral:rRNA from 1 species